rnacentral:lncRNA from 1 species
CACCACCAUCUUGAUAGUUAAACAAUUUCACUGUAAAAGCUAUUAAACUUAGCAGGAAAAAAAAUUUAAACUUUAUCUAACAUUUGAAUCUACAAUUUUCAAUUAGCAACUCUUGUCACAAAUGUUUAUUAGUGGGGUACGUUCUAAGAUAUUGUUAUUUGCUAAUUGUCGAGGAUUAUUUGGGAGUUAAAUCUCACAAGAAGGCGUAAAGAUCACAUUAGAAUUAGAUAUUUUACUAGGAAGCUAAAGAUCACAUUAGAACCACCCGCAGGAAUACAAAAAAACGACAUACCUUAUAGUCCAGUUGAUCAAAACCCUUGCAAACAAAUUCGAACAAGGUUCUUAAGUUCUCAGGGCUGGGUGCAGUUACAAAUAUAUUUGAAUACCUGUGAAGAUAUAUUUGUAUCGUCAAAACAUAGUACAUGAAUAUGAGUGUAGACAGCUACACAUACACCAAAACAGUUUUAAUACAUUGUAAAAGGCAUACUACCCUGCAGCAAUAGCUCCGGAAAUUGCCAAACCAAGUGCAGCCGAUUUUCCACGGCCUCGAGCAGCAAGCAAGGCAACAGUACUUCGGAGUGUCUUGUCCAAGAUUGCAUCAAGAAAUGUAGCAACAGCAUUUCCCUGUUGAAACAUUUACCAACUCAAACUAUGAGUCAUAUUAGUAAAUCACACAUGAUAGAAAAACUCAAAACUAAUACAAAUCAGAGAGAGUGCCUACCUGGUCCAACGUACAACAUUUCUUUAUUAAAGGGCCAACAGGAAAGGCAUCACUCAGCUGCUCUUUUAGAUCCUUCAGUUCCCUUUGUGACUCUGAUAUCCCUUCAGAGUCCUUCAAUCAUGAUCAGAAAACAAGAAAAAAGUUAUCAAAGUUAUCAAAGCUUCACAAACUCCUAGAAAGUAUCCUAAUAACCAUUCGGUAUACACACACUUGAAAAAUUACUUUUAUUCUUUUUGUCAUCUCGCAUAAGAUGCCACGAAAAUAAAGCAUUCCUCGAUUUAUCAGUUCCGUCCUAUAGAAAAGUUACAAGGCUAAAAGGUUACCUCUUUCACUGGAACUGGGGUAAUUGACCUCAUAUGAGAUGAAAUUGGUAAAAUAUUCAGCUCAUCAUCCAUUACUACACAUGAUUUGCAUGACGCAAGUGACAAUAAGAAACGCUCGUUAAAACGUCCAGUAGCCUUAGAAUGGGAUUCAGUUCGAAACCUAUCAUGAACAUCCUGAAAUCAAGAGGCGCUGAUAAGACUGUAUGGAGAUUUUUGCAUUUGAGAGAACGAGAAAGACAGUGUUGCAAAUAAAACAUGACAUAACGGAAUUGUUAUCAAAUAUAAUAUGUGGUGCAUGGCUAUUGCUAUAUUCGUUCUAAGUCCAUAAUGUAGUAAAACUAGAAACUACCUCAACAAGAAGAACAAAUAUUAUGAGGAAACCUAGUUGUUUUUUCUUCUUCUUUUUGGGGCUAGAACAUGAAAAGAAACAACUAGUCUACAUAGGCCCAACUGGGAAACUUAUAUGUUCAGCAGCAUUCUCUUAAAGAAAGUCAAGCAAUUGAAUCUACCAAAAGUCUUCUUGUAGCCAAGCACAUCAUUACGAAAAAAUUCGGAAACUUUUAACAUGGCUAGUUUUCAAGAUUUUGCGGUAUAUAAUAAGCAUAACCAUGCUGGCCUAAAAACUAAGCAUUAAUUGUGUGCAUGCGUAAGAGAAAGAGGUAUUAUUAUAUGCAUACCAUAACCAUGGUGUAGAGGUUGGUGAGUGAGGUUAGAGAAUGAAGCAACAAUAUGACUAGUCCACCUCCCUCCACUGUCUCUAUCGUUCUUGCUAGUAGAUUUGGAGUCAAGGCCUCAAAAUCCUAAUGCAGGAGAUCAAACUUAGUCAUAAAACUUAAAUCAAUUAUACAAGGGGUCUUGGCCAAACCAGUAAAUUUGUAAGUUUCAAGUUACCUGAAGUAUACACAUUCCAAAGGUAUUACCAAGAACUCUUUCUGAAUCCUUGUACAAGCAAUAAGUCAAUCCCCCACUUUCAACAAAAAGUGAGAAAGGAUCAACCUUCUCGGGAUCAAGCAGCCCCCUCUGCAUCAUCUUUUUUACUUGCUUAGCACGUUUUUUCUUGUGACUGCAUCAUGAAGUAGUCAAACGCAACGAAUCAAUAUAUUUUAAAAACGAAAUUCCGCCUUGCCUUAUAAUAAGGUGAAGAAUGGAAGGUAGAAGAAAUCAACCUGCUGAGCUCGAGCUUGUCCUUGUAGCACCACAACACAGUCGGGCGCGAUUUCUUUACUUCAUUGCUUAGCAUAUAAUGAAGAUUCACAAUCUGAAGACCAUAUAAAACUCCAUAUUAGCCAUUUUCCGUUAGUUUUCGAUAGAUUUUCGAUGAUAUUUCUUACCUUGUUUGAGGUUUUUAGUGUUACUCGGUGAGUAUUGCAGGUGAAAACAAGAAACAGUAAAACUGGUAAAAUUUUCUACCCAAUUCAAUUUAAAUCAUUGUUAUAACUCCUCAAAUUGAAUAGGAAUAGCAAAUAGGGAAUGGGAUAGGAAAGGCAGAAGAAAUUAGGAGUACCUGGUCACGGGAUUUGUCGCCGACGAUGACGAACAUGGAGCGGUGCCGGUUUUUGACGCCAUUGCUUAUUAGGGUUCGGAUUCGUUCGUCCACCUUCUUCCUCAUUCUCUCUCUCUCUUCUCUCUCUGUGCAAUUAGGUUUAGGGUUUAUACCAUAGGGCAGUUGUCGUCGUCGGGCAGGGUUUAAGCCGAACUAGUGAGAGAGAGACUAGACAUCGCGGAGAGAUAUUGAGUUCAUCUCAACCGUUGAUUGGCUAUCUGAUGGCUGUUAUCAAAGCUGACAUAAAAAUGAAAACUCAACACGUGGCCAAGUAUUUUUUUUCUCUCUUUUUUGGCUUAUUUAUUGAUUUGCCCCAGAAAUUAUUUUUUUUGUCUUACUCUAGGUCAUGAAACAGAAUUUAUCUUACUUUAUCUUCUAAAACUACCAAAAUCGAGUCAUUUCACCCAUGUUUUGUCAAUUCUAUCUCAUAAACGUUAAAUAAAAGGGAGUCUAAACAUUUCAUACCAUGCUAGCAAAGAUGAGCCACUGUUGUUGGUGAGGUACGAAAUUUUCAAACUUUCCUAAACCUUUAAAACUUAAAAGGUAUCUUGAAUAUGAACGUAAAUGAGGUAAAGUUGCUCAAUUUUGGCAAUUUAUGAAGGGUAAAAUGAGACAAAUUCAAUUUAAGGCUAAAGUGAGAGUAAAUGGCAGUUUCAUGAGAUAUAUCAAUAAAUAAAUCUUUUCUAGAAUACAACUAAAUUAUGUACUCACGGUAAAAGAUAAAUUAAUAUCGAACUUGUCAUUGACGAUAUCUAAACAUAAAACCUUUCAAGUUUUUACCUAUAAGAAUAAAUUUGGUAUAGUAAUUUCUUUUCUAAUUUAAAGUUUCCCAUAGAGUUAUGACGAAUUUGAUACCAAAUUAGGCUGUCAUUGUGUGGCAUAGCCGAAUUCCUCCUCCCUUACUUUAAAAAUAACGAUGUACUCAAAAAAAGUUUCCCAUAGAGUUAAAAUGAUCUUUAGUUGCUUGCUGAGACAACCCAUAUGUAUAAUAAGACAUUGAAAAAGGUGCCUCUGUCAUUUACACUCACACGAUCGAAUAAGUAGCUCCGACAGUUGCAUCAUAAAAUUAAGGGGUUUUCCGAGAUUGUAGUAAGGUUGACGAUUAAAGUUUGGGAAAUUUUCAGGUUAAGGAAUCAAGGGAUCACAUUUUCAAGUUUCGUAGGCAUUCUCUUUCCUUUGGAAUGGUGUUGGAAUCCGUCCUGAAGUUGCCCAUUCCUUUGCUCUUGAUUUUCAGAGUUGGAUAGCUAUAAACCUUAGGACACAUUGUACCACCAUACAUGGUUUACCUUGGAACCUUAUCUUUAAUUCAACUCUCUGGCAUUGCUGGAAAUGGAGGAAUAACUUUGUCUUCAAUGAUGGCCAACAACCGCUUGACUCACCCCAGAAUUUCAUUUUUCAAUUUGCAAGGGAAUGGUGUGAUGCGAACAAGUGUUCUUCUAGUAAGCCUCCUAGACAAAAUCAUCUCAAUCCAUUGGAUUCGUUUGCCAAUUGGUAUACAAAAUCAAUACAGAUGGGAGUUGUAAAGACCCAUUUAGCCACAUAAGUGCUGGAGGUUUGCUUCGUAAUUCUGAAGGGAAAUGGAUUAAGGGAUUUGCUGCUAAUUUGGGCAGAGGAACCAUCAUGGAAGGUGAGCUUUAAGGGUGGUUUCAUGGGACUUUCUAUAGGUUGGGAUGAGAGUUGCAAGGAAGUGAUUAUUGAAUGUGAUUCUUAUGCUGCUGUUACUUUGAUCCAACAACCUAUUUUAGUUCCCACUCUACAAUCUCAUUAUUGACUGCAAAGAAGCCAUUGAAAGAAAUUGAAGAUGUGAAGUUACUCAUAUCUAUAGAGAAAAUAAUGUCUUAGCUAAUCACACGUCUGACUUAGGUCAUGGGUUAUCACUUGGUCUUCAUGUUUUUGCUUCUCCUUCUACCAUUGCUACUAAUUUUAUAGUUUCUAAUACUAUUGGCAGGGCCCUCCCUAGAGCUGUUUUUUAGUAGCUUUUUUGUUUUGCUUGUUGGGCUUUGCCCUCUUCUGUACCCAAAAAAAAAAAAAAAAAAAAAAAUAUUGGGAAAUUUAUUUGGACCCAACUUUUUUAUCUCUACACCCAAAUAAUAUUUUCUCUUAUCUAAUCUUCCAAAUUUGUCCUUAAAUAACAAACAUUGAAGUUUUCUUUGUAUCUCUACACCCAAACCCCACGAUCCACCACUGUAGGGCGCUCCAUUAUUUCCGACAAACCCAACUCAAACGCCAGCAACACUAAAAUCGACAAAUCAAGACUGGAGAACAAAUGGUGUAGGAGUCCUAAUGUGAAUAUUAAAGCAAACUUAAGUUGCAAAACCCUUUUUUAUUUCAAUCGAUGAAAGGACCUUGGGUUAUGAACAUAAGGAACCUAUUAGGGUUUAGAGGUCCCCUCCACAUCAUAUGCAUAAGCCCUUUUUCUUCAUUCAUUAAUUUACGGAAGGGAAAAUUAAUACUAUUAUUCUCAUAAAAAGUGGGAAUACCAAGGAAAGAGAUCCUCUCCACACCAUAUAUUUUUCUUUUCUGAGUAGUUAUAUCCAAUGGAGAGAGGAAAACAAGAGCACCAAUGGUCGCAGGUUCACCGGAGAAAAUGAAGGUGCAGUGGUGAUGUGAGUUUAGGGUUAUUGGGUGUAAAGAUAACAACUUUAAUAUUUAUUUUCUCAUUUUUAUUUAUUUAAGGGCAAAUUUGAAAGUUUAGUAGAGAAAAUUUGUUAGUUGGGUGUAGAGAUAAAAAGGUUGGGUCCAACAAAAUUUCUCAUAAAGUUUAAUCACGCGAUUAAGUUCUUGUGCAAUGAGUAAAUUGUAGCAAUGACCCAUCAACUAAAAAUCCAUUAUUAUUGAUCCCUCAACUCAUCAAAAUAUGUAGUUAUGGUCAUUUUCGUCAACUUUGUAAGAAUUUUGUCAAAAUAAAUUAUGUUGGAAGGACCAUUGUUACAAUUAAGGUCCUUCAACUCAUCAAAACAUGUAGCUAUGGUCAUUUUCGUCAACUUUGUCAAAAUGAGUUAUGUUGGCAUGACCAUUAUUGCAAUUGGGUUAAAGUUGAGGAAUCAUUGCUCCAAUUGGGUUAAAGUUGAGGGAUCAUUUCUCUAGUUAGAUUAAAGUUGGGGGACCAAUGAUAAUUAAGUUUUAGUUAAGGGAUCAUAGUUGCACGUUUUGAUGAGUUGAGAGAUCAAUGAUAAUGAAUUUUUAGUUAAUGGAUCAUUACUCCAAUUGAGUUAAAAAUAAAGGACCAUUGCUACAAUUUACUCUUGUGCAAUAGAAGAUUAAUUUGGCCGAACAACCUGAUUAAGGUGCCUACUUUCUCUUUAAUUCAUUGGUAUCAUUUAUUUUCCCUUAAGCUGAAUUAUGCUCAAUUUAUGUAUCAAUAUUGUAAAGUUGUCUUUGUUAGAGUAAUUUGGACAAUAUAAAUUGAAAAUUAUUUGUGUAUAUGGAAAAGAUUAACCUCAGGGGUCACUUCGCCGGACUCCGUAGCAAUCUCCACCACUCCAAUCGUAAUGGUGAGUAAAUCACUUGUGUUUGUUUCCAUUUUUUCAAUUGGAAAUUGGGGGUUUUGAAUUCAUAUUUUGUCAAUUGGUUUUGUGAGCACUGAGAAUACACUACGAGCUUGUGUGUGUGUACAAUAUGUUGGAUUUGAUCUUUAUAAAGAAUGCGAGAAAUUGGGGUUAGGAAAGAGAAGAAAAGGAAACAGAACUCGAACUUCGAUCUUCAUUCUUGUUACUAAAGGAGAAAACCGAAUUUGAACCGGUUCAUACGUAAUCGAACCGAAUUUGUAUAGUUCGGUUCACCCCUUAGUACCGAACCGUACCAUACCAAAAAAAAUUUCUUGAGUUUGGUUUUGAUACAUCCCUCAUACUGUACCAUACCAAAUCGUGGCCAGACCUACUGAAUACAAAACUUAUAUCUGGGUCGUAAGUCGUAAGGCCUCCAAAAAAAAAGUUCAUAUUAUUCAUACCAAUCGGACAAAUCCCGCACCCAAAAACAAUGGCUAGAUAGAAAGUUCAAUUAUAGAUUAGGUAAUCUAUCCUUUUCAACUUAAAUGCACAUUCAUGAUGGUUAUGCAAAUCAUAUUAUGUUAACAAAUGCAACAAUUAAUUAUAUUUAUCCAUUUGGAAUGAUAUAUAUUUUCAAAGAUGGAAUUACAGACCCCGUUGACGUUGAGGCCAUUGCAUGAGAGAAUUUUAGAUGAUUUUCAAUUAAUUUAUAUUAUUGUUGUGAUAACCAUAAUAAUUAUUUUCUAAAUGUAAAACUAUAUUAAUGAAAUUUUCUUUGUCGGUCAAAAGAAGAUGAAAAGAUAUCUUUAUCUUCUAUCACAACAAAAAAAUUAAGGAUAUUAAUGUAAUAGGCUAAUAGCGAUGGGGUGAAGAAAUGGAACUAUCCUAAAUAGGCAGUUGCUGGUUAUAUUGGAUCAGGUGGUCUGAAUGAUUGGAUAAUUAGCAAAUAAAAAGGUUCCAUUUUUCAUGGACCCUCAAGUGGAAAUAUGGGAUAAAAGAUGGCAUAUACCAUUUUAUCCAUUUGUGAUUGUACAUUUUGAUGGUUGUGAUUUCACCCGAUGGCGCGGCAAGUGUGGAUUGGGAUAAGGAUGGUUUUGGUCUAUCAUCAAAGAUGGUUUGAUGUUCACGACUGGAUUUUACAACGCAUCCAAGUGCAUGGGUUCUAUAAAUACAGAGUUGCGCACAAUAAAAAAGUACAAAGGACCUUCAAACCUUUCACACACUCUGAGAAACUCCUGAUUCUCCCAACUUCGUCAACACAUCUUCAAUUUGGAUUAACAUCACUGUUUGUCAGUGAGGAGUCCUUAGUCUUCUCGUCUCAUUAGCCCUCUAGGUGAAGUGAGGUGUUACUGAAUUACUUGAGUAUUCAGCACAUUGAAAGUCGAACCUUAUUUGAACUUCACAGUAGUUAGCAAUCUUAUCUUCAGGUUUUAGAACCCAAUGCCAAGACAUAUUCCUUCCUCGACAGUGAUGGUUUGUACACAAAAGUUGGUUUGUACACAUAAGUCAGUAUUGUGUUUGACACACCAUCCCAUUCAUUCUACUAGCCCACAAACGCGUGGACUCGUCCAAAAUUACCCCACUCUCGGCCCGUUCACUUGCCCACUCGUCCCACGCGGCCCGUGAGUCUUCAGUGCCUGAUAGGGGGGCCUACUGUUAGGGCCGUUGUUGGCCACAACCCAGAGCCCAACGAUUUUUUUUUGCAUCCCACGACUGGCAUUUUUGGACCGUUGGUUGAUCCAACGGUCCAGAUUCAAAUUUUGUUUUUUUAAAUGUUAUUUUAAAAUACAUUGAAUCCAACGGCUGAGAUCGAAUAUAAUCAAAUCUAACGGUAAAAUAAAAAAAGAUAAAAAAAGAUAUAACAGUCCAAAUUUAAAUCCAACAGCUAAAAUAAUUUUAAAAAAAAUUAUUUAACUCAAAAUUCACCCAAAAACUCUAUAAAUACCUUUGUAUUUGUUCAAACAUCCACACAAAACUCAAUUUUCUCCCACAAUUCUUCCAUUUUUUCUUUCUACCAUUUCUUUCCAUUUCCAAAUUGUUCAACACGAUCCUUGAAUUGGCCAUCCCAAGCAGUAAGACAAUUCUUCCACUCCCAAAGCAUACAAUCGAGACUUCCUAUCAUGUCAGGAAAGCCUAUUUUGUCUGCUUUGAGUAGAAUGUGACGACAUGUCCCGAAUUAUUAUAUAUUUUUCUCCCUAAGUGUGUAAAGUGACGGUAAUGCCCUCGUGAUUUAGUGACGUGGAUGUACAUAUGUAGUUUUAAAUUAUUAUUUCUAUUGUCGUAGUUAAAUUGUACUCGACGCCAUGAGUGUGUUGAUGUGACCUAGGGCUAAAACAAAUUCGUAACGAAGAAGUUACGAACAGACGAGUGUGUAAAUGCGUAGAAAUAUAUUUUUAUGGGUUGGCUAUACCUUACCCACCAAUCACCUUAAUUCCUGAUUUCUUUGGCCUAAUUGAAUUAAAAAUAUCUCUCAUUUUUCCUUCUGCCCAAUCACGCACAUACACACCAUCACUCUCUCUCUUCUCUCGGACCUUCUUCUUCUUUCUUCUCAUUCCGUACACCCGAGCCACCCUUACCUCACAAUCAUCAUCAAAACAUUAUGGAUCGAAUUGGAAAUCACUACCAUCGCAGUCACCUCGAUCCCACGAACUCAUUGAUACCCUUAGGUCGAGGAAUAGACGUCGGGAAUUCGAGAACUCGGGAGCUCUGGCGAGGUGUAUUUUUCUACUUUGUGAUCGUGGUCUUUUUCUAUGGUUUAAAGGCUUGAGGUGGGUCCUAAUCAACUUUAUAGGGACCCUAGAUUAGUUUUGGAGCAGUUUGAACGUUGGAAUAGGUGAGAACAUGGAGUUGCAGGUUGGCCGGUUGAUCCAAGCCUUACUCCGACCACUUUCUGUCGGUUUUAGAACCUCAAGUAGGUAAGAUUGUAUUCUUCUAGUUGAGAGUUUCAAAUCCAUAUAAAAUUCAUGGAAUUUGGUUGAAAAAUGAUGAAGAUAUUAAAGUUUUAAGAUUUUUCCAAAAAUCAGCGACACAAACGGCGCCCGACGGCCAGCGAUGGAUUCCGACAAAGCCAUCGGAGAAGGAGGAGAAUAUUAUGUCUAACUUUGACAGAAUAUACUAACAGCGUCAGGUAACUCUAUUAGUUUUUAAACAAAAUAUUCUACUAUUUAAUGAAAUAUUCCCUAACGCCGUUAGGGAUUCCGUGCCUGCACGUGCCGGCUUAUGAGGGCGCGUGAGACGUCAGGAAAUUAAUCUAAAAAUAUUGGGGUGUUCGAGUUGUUGAGUAGGUCAUGUUGGUAUAUUCAAACACCCUAUUUGAGCAACGUAUGAGAAGUUAUUCCUAGGGUUUGUGUAUGUGCCUUAAAAUUAAUGUAAAAUUAGUUAUUUCGCAUAUAGGUGAGACUUACCCGGAGGACAAACGUGGUCAAACGAGACUUGGGGGCUACGAUCCUACUACUUACCAGUGAGCGGGCUUUUUUUUUCUAUAUAUAUGUAAAUAUGCUUAUGAAUCCCAUAAACUACUUUAAAUGAACGUAUGUUUUAAAUGCCAUGUCGUGUGCAUUAUGUGUUAGUAUUGCAUUAGUAUAGCUAUGCAUAGUAUUGGAUGAGACUGCGCAGACUCAGGUAAGUUUCAGGUGAGUACAUCAUGAUGGUAUUGGGUGCGUGUGUGUGGUUAUACGUUGAUGCAUUUUGAGCUUAUUAUCCUGCACAUUGGUGUUAGUGUUCUCGCCCAUGGCCAGGGCAUAGUUUUUCACAUGAUGUUCACCUCCUGGGCCGCACGCUCACUUUGGAUCCAAGUUUGGUGCACAGCCAUAUUGCACAGACCACAAUAGGUGGUUCCGACUCGUAGGUGACCUGCAAUUAUUUGCACAGCCUUCACGUGAUCGUAGCACUUAAGCGUACUUAUCUACACCCAGCCCUGUUGUACAGACCACAAUAGGUGGUUCCGACUUAUGUGCAUGCAUACUUGAUGAGCUAUAGAUUCAAUUGUACAGGUUACAUUAGGUGACUCCGGUUGGCAUACUAUUUUAGGUUGAUUCGUAUCACCUGGCUUACACAUUUUAUGGUUGAACAUCUUGACAUGGCAUACCUCUGUUUUCACUGCUCUAAGCAUUAUCCUUAUGUACCUAGUUGUUAUUAUUUUCUGGAAAAUUAUAUGGGUUUACAGUGAGGGGUUAGUAUGUUCAUAAAGACAACUGUGUUUUCAAAAACUUUGUUUUUGCCUACUCACAUUUUUUGUUUUGCACCCUUUCAGGUUCUAGGUAGUUGGUCAUCCUUGGUGGCUCACGAGGACUUUCACGGCGGUUCUGACAUCUCUGUAAAUAAGUAGGGAUUUUUUUCCCUGUUUGUAUAAUUAGUACUUAGUUGGUUCGAUUGCACUUUCGUUUACCCAUGCUCUGAUAUUUGUAUAACUUGCUUGGUCAUCUUUACUCACUUAUAUUAUCUUAGUUUAGAUAAGUUUGGUUUUAGGUUUUUAUUUAUUCGCAUUUCUUUUAUUAUUACUUCUGUUGCGCAUUUUGGCUACGUUACUCUUACGUGACGGGCAUCAUGUUUCGACUUCGGUUGGGGUGUGUCAUAAAAGCCUCUUCAAGUCUUCAUGAUUUGGCUUGCAGAGAUAUGUGGCUCCAUAUGUGGCCUGAAUUGCCCCACAGAAGCGCUCCAGGUUUUUAAUAGCAGUAGUCUCCGCAAGUCGGCAAUACUCAUCAGUUGAGUUUGCAGAGCACUCAUUAGCUAGCAUCCGAAAUGCAGAUGUGAGCUUCUGAUGAGGUGAUAGACUUUGUCGGCCUACGACAUUUAUCUUCCUUGCAAAGUAGUGGUCAUGAUUGACAACUGUGUUCAAGAUGCUUUCAAAAAUCUCUCUCCUCAUUCGAAACCGUCUCCGAAAAUCAUGAGCAGGAAAUCUCGGACGCUCAAUAAAAUAAUAUUUCAUCAUUCGGUCAUGACACUCUUCUCUAUCACGUUGCACAAAUGAACGCUUCGUGACAUAACCACAAUAGCUAGAUUCGACAUGGUGCUCAUAUUGCAUAAGCGAGUUUGGAAGUUUAGCUUAUGCGUUGAUCAUUUUUGAAUCCUCAAUGUCAAGGCUUGCUUGGUAUUAUGUCAUUUGCAUUGCCCUGCUACACCUUCUUCUAUCAUCCAUUGUUGAUAUAUUGAGGAUUUUUAUGAAACAAAAACACUUUGAAAGUUGAAAGAUUAGUGAAUAUAGGGAAUGAUUGAAGGUUGAAAGAUUGUGUGACCAACUGAUAUUGAACAUGUGUUUAUAUAGAGGAUGAUUGAUGAAAGUUGAAAGUUUGGUGAAAGUUGAACGGUUGGUGAAAGUUGAAGAUUUGUGAAAGUUAAAGACUUGCUUUGUGGAAAGAUUUAGUGAUUUUUUCAAUAUUUAUUGGAAUUUAAAUAUUUUUAUAUUAAAAUGUUCAUAAAAUUAAUUUACCAUAGGCUACAUAAUUUUUUUUAAAAGUUAAUUUAAGAAAAAAAAUUAGCCUAAGUUCAUUCUUUAAUAAUCCCGAACUAAAAUUUUAGGCUAGGGUUGGAGCAGAAAAACUGUUUCUGUGUUAAAAGCUAAAUUUUUUAGAUUAAAAAUUUUAAAUUUUAACCCAAAGGUUGGAGAUGAUUUAAGAAUGGAUAAACUUAACCAAGAAAAGAAGAAAAAAGAUGAAGGGCAAAUAAGUGAGAAGCAACAUGACACGACACACGGACGACCAUAGCAAUAAAGCGUGCGUCCUCACGUCCAUUGAAUAUAUAGAUGGGAGCUACAACAUCGUGUUUCACGUGCAUGUGUAUUAUACAUAAAGGCAUAUACAGUGUUAGCUUAUAUAUUAUAAAGUUUGUAGGCCACUUACCCAAUUUGGCAUAUGUUUUAUCUUUUUACGUGAAUAACCAAUGUGUUAUGAUGAUACAAGUCUCUUAACAUAUCCGGAGUUAGAAAUAUCAUAAGACAGUGUUGCGAUCAUAUUGAAAUUAAUUGACAGUUUGUAUUAUAUAUUUGAUUAUUCUUUAUUAACUUAAGGAGACAGCAUACUUAGACCUAAUUUAGUCACAUUCUCCAACCGAAAAUAAAGCGGUGUAGUAUUCAUACACUUUUUUUUAUUUCUUACACAGUCUUAAUUAAUUUCUAUUGUUUGAUCUUCUUCAAUUCAUUCGAUCUGACGACCGAAAAUUAAGAUGGUGUGUGGACGAGUAAAUUAUAACAAUGGUCCCUCAACUUUAAUCAAAUUGGAGCAAGGGUGCUCAACUAAAAAUCCAUUACCAUUGGUUCCUCAACUCAUCAAAAUGUGUAGCUAUGGUCAUUUUCGUCAACUUCGUUACAAUUUUGUCAAAAUAAGUUAUAUUGGAAUGACUAUUGCUACAAUUGGGGUCCCUCAACUCAUCAAAACGUGUAGCUAUGGUCAUUUUCAUCAAUUUCGUUAGAAUUUUAUCAAAAUGAGUUUUGUUGGAAUGACCAUUGCUACAAUUGAAUUAAAGUUGAGGGACUAUUAUUUCAAUUGAGUUAAAGUUGAAAGAUCAUUUCUUCAGUUGUAUUAAAGUUGAAGGAUCAAUGGUAAUGAAUUUUUAGUUGAGGGGACUAUAGCUGCACGUUUUAAUGAGUUGAGAGAACAAUAAUAAUGAAUUUUUAGUUGAAAAACUAUUACUUCAAUUGAGUUAAAAUUAAGAAACAAUUGCUACAAUUUUUUUAUAUGGAAAGUGGAUGAUGUGAAUAGCACAUCCAAAAAUAAAAGGGAACUUUAACGAAAAGCACCCGGUACUGUUCACUUUAACGAAAAACCACAUUUUUACACUAAAAAGUCAAUCCUGGUACUAUUCACUUUACCCUUUAUUUUGUCCUUAUCAUUAAAACUCAAAGUUUUCAAGCCCUUUUCAUUAGUUUUCCUAAAAUAAAAUGCACCACAAUUUGGUAGGAUCUUCCUGUUGAGAGUAAUAAAUUAAUAAUUGCCGAAAUAUUGGAUAAUUUGUCGGCCACAACGCUAUGAGGGAGUAUCUGGGGAUGAAUAUACUCUUGCCGACAGAUGCCCAAAUUCCAACUGCCAUUCAAAUGAGCCCUCCACCACCACCGGCCAUAAUAAAUUCUCUUUCUUUAGUGAAGAAGAAAAAGAGGUACUUGGCCCUCACCUCAACUUUUUGAGAAAGAACAAGUUUAUCGCUAUCAGAAUGUUUCGGUCAAUUAUAUAAGUUAUGUGUAAAUUUUUCUUUAGAUAACAUUACAUUAUUAUAUUUAAAAUGUUCCGUAACGAUAAAUUUGUUUCAUACAAAUUAUUCUCCAACUUCUUGGAUUUUUCUCCUUUUUCCCGAAAACCAGCUUAUAUUAGUGUUCAUCCUCUGUCAAUAUCACUCGCCCACAACUAUUCAACUAACUUUUAAUAAUUUGACAACGUGUCAUAUUUUUGUGCAAAGCGGGCCCAUUUUUGUGGGUGAUAUAAUAAUGGCGUAUGUGGUUUGUCAAGACAUAUACUCAUUUAUCCAUUAGCAGUUAGGUAAGUCACCUCACUCACCCACAGCCUAACACAUCAACAAAUAUUGCUUACAAAUUCUAGAAAAUUCGACCAAGAAAAAAAACCAAAUGCUCGCAAAUUAAAAUUGUGUAACAUGAUUAGUUUUUUAUCCAUUAGUAUUAAUUUUACGUUGGAAGAAAUUCCAAAUUUAUUCUUGUAAAGAGGGAUAUGAAAAUACUUUGUAUGUCUAUCACCAAAAUCUUCGAAUGUUUGAAUGGUUGAUUUUCAAGUCUCACACAAUUGGAUUUAGUUCAAGUGAGAAAGAAAUACACUCAAACUAUUAGAUAUGAGGAAUGAAAAUACACUACAAAAUCUUGUGAACAUUUCUAAUAUUCUCUUCUAUCUACUUUUUGUGAACCAAGUUUUUAUUUGUUUUUUUUUUUAACAAAAGAUAUUUUUUAUACUAGGGAAAUAAGGUGGGUUUAGCCUCAUAAUGGGCUAACAUAAUCUAGUUCAAACUUGCAUUUGGUGAGAAUCGAACCUAAAAUCUCUCACUUACAAGUGAAGAGGAAUACCAUUAGAAGUGUCAUGAAAUUAGCAGUCUUAUAUGUAAAAAAUUGAUUGACUAAAUGCUGUGUUAAAAAACAAGAUUAAUACUUGCAUCUCCCCACUUGGAAAAUGCAAAUAUUUCAUUUCUUGCAAAUAACGUAUAUCAUGCGUUCUGUUCAAUCGCAUAUUCAAAAAUGUUAAAAACAAGAUUAAUAUUUCUAUCUCCCCACUUGGAAAAUGCAGUAUUUCAUUUUUUACGAAUAACGUAUAUCCUGUGUUCCGUCCAAUCGCGUAUUAAAAAAAUGUGUGAAGUUUGGAUUAACUACACUCUUUGAGAAUUUCCUUAAAUAACCACUUUUUGAAAAUUUCUUAUAGGACUAAGUGAGUCUCCGCUGAGAAUUUCCUUAACUAACACAACACUACUUGAGUGAUAAUUUGUUAUAUCUUGAAUAGAGAAUAAAUCAGUUCCCUACUUUUGAAGGUACUAUUAACUUACACUAUAUUUGAAUGAGAACAAUAAACUUAGAAUUUAGAUGAAGGAAAUAAAACAGUUUCCUACUUUUGAAGGUACUACUCGAGUGAUAAUUUGUUAUAUCUUGAUAACGUGUCAUAUUUUUUUGCUAAGCGGACCCAUUUUUGUGGGGUGGUAUAAUAAUGGCGUUUGUUGUUUGUCAAGGGCAUAUACCCAUUUAUCCAUUAGCAGUUAGGUCACCUCACUCACCCACAACCUAGUACAUCAACAAAUAUUGCUUACAAAUUCUAGAAAAUUCAACCAAGAGAAAGAAAACCAAAUGCUCGCAAAUUAAUCUGUGUAACAUUAGUUUUUAUCCAUUAGUAUUUAUUUUACAUUGGAAGAAAUUCCAAAUUUAAUCUCGUAAAGAGGGAUAUGAAAAUACUUUGUAUAUCUAUUAUCAAAAUCUUUGAAUGUUUGAAUGAUUGAUCAUCAAGUCUCACACGAUUGAAUUUAGUUCAAGUGAGGAAGAAAUACACACAAACUAUUAUAUAUGAGGAUUGAAAAAUACACUACAAAAUCUUGUGAUAACAUUUCUAAUAUUCCUUUCUAUCUACAUUUUGUGAUAAGUUUUUUUUUUCCUUUUUUGAACAAACUAUAUUUAUCUACAUUAAGGGAGAGGAGGUGAUCUUAGCCUCACAAUGGGCUAGCAUAAUGUGGUUCAAAUUCGCCUUUGGCGAUAAUCGAACCUAAAACUUAUCAUUUACAAGUAAAUAGGAAUACCACUAGAUGGAUCAUGAAAUUAGCAGUCUUAUAGGUAAAAAAAAAUUGAUCGACUAAAUGAUGUGUUAAAAAACAAGAUUAAUACUUGCAUCUCUCCACUUGAAAAAUGUAGAUAUUUCUGUGAACACGGAAAAUUCCUGAAACGAAAGAGACAAGAACAACGUGCACAAAAUAAUAUUUUGGUGUUAAUGGAUUUGUUGGGUUACGAUCUCUUUUAACUUGAUCCUCUGAUUCGAUCUCCGUAAGGUGUUGAUUUAUGGAUGUUUCGUUGAUCCAAGGGCUGUUGAGGCUUGAUCUUAGAUGAACUGUUGGAAGUUUCUUCAAGGGGCCGUGGGCUUGAUCUUUGAAGGUGGAUUUGAGCGGAUCUUCAAGGAGCCGUUGGGGCUUGAUCUUGAGGAUGAGUGUUUCUUCAAGGGCCGUUAAGGCUUGAUCUUGAAUAACGGUGAUGAACGGAUCUUCAAGGGCUUUUGGGCUUGAUCUUGAAGAACGGUUGGAUGUGUGGAUUUGUUGAUGUUGUUGAUCCAAGGGCCGUCGGAGCUUGAUCUUGGAAGAACGAUGAACGAAGAACGAAGAACACUUUCUUCAAAGGCCGUCGGGGCUUGAUCUUGAAUUGGUGAUUGUUGAUCCAAGGGCCGUCGGGGCUUGAUCUUGGAAGAACGAUGAACGAAGAACGAAGAACACUUUCUUCAAGGGCUGUCGGGGCUUGAUCUUGAAUUGGUGAUUGUUAAUCCAAGGGCCGUCGGGGCUUGAUCUUGAUUCUUCGGGAUGAACGGAUGAUGAACAAUGAACACUUUCUUCAAGGGCCGUCGGGGCUUGAUCUUGAAUUGGUGGAAGUUCUUCAAGGGCCUUUGGGGCUUGAUCUUGAAGGUGGAUGAUUGUUGAUCCAAGGGCCGUCGGGGCUUGAUCUUGGGAUGAACAGUUGUGUGGAUUUGUUGAACACUUUCUUCAAGGGCCGUCGAUGCUUGAUCUUGAAUUGGUGGAAGUUCUUCAAGGGCCGUUGGGGCUUGAUCUUGAAGGAGGAUUUGACGAAGAACGAAGAGGGCUUUCUUGAUCCUUCGGGAUUUGCUUGAAUUUGGGAGGUUGGAUGCUUGAAAGCUUUAGAGUUUCAAAGCUUCAAGGAUUUUGGAUGUGUGGGGAGUAUUCUCUUCCAUUUUGGGAGUAGAGAAAUGUAUUUGUGAAUUGGUUUUUGAUACCUUGAUGUAGAAGCCUAUUUAUAGGCUUUGAGAAUGAAUCACCACCACAAAAUAUUUUUUUUCUUUUCCAAGCACCAUUGCCUAAUUUCCCACUUAAUACAAUUUUAAACUUGAAGUGGUAAUUUUAUGGCCUAAUUUUCCACUUAAUAUCAUUUUAAACUUGAUAUGUGCAUGCUUUGUCAUUGCCCAAAAUGAGAAGAAAACCUUGUUUUGAUCUUCAAUGAAUUGAAAUGUGCUUGCCUUGUCAUUGCCCAAAAUGAGAAGAAAAACUUGUGUAAUCCUUCAAGGGUAUUUCUUUUUAUUUUGUUGAGUCGCACACCAUGUGUACAAUUUGUAUGACACGUGGCAUAUGCCAUGUACGCCUUGACACGUCAAAAUUUUAAUGCGUUGGUGAACAUUUAUUUCACCGCAAUUUCGGUGUCUACAAAUGCCCCCACUUCAAGGUGCGUCGUAUACAUGUGCUUGUCACGUGUAGGAGAUGCGUUUUGAAGUCCCUUACUGUAGAUGUCAAUCCAAUGGCCAUCGAGGCUUGAUCUUGAAUUGGGCUGGAGAUUUCUUCAAGGGCCGUUGAGGCUUGUUCUUGGACUUUGUUUGAAAUUUCUUCAAGGGCCAUCGAGGCUUGAUCUUGAAGGUUGAAAUUGGACCACAAGGAGCUUCAUGUGGUAGAUGAUCUUUGGCUUUGGUAGUGGAUGAAUCGGCACGUAUUUGUUUUUGCGCUUUGUUGACUUUCCACAGCUUUGAUCUUGAACUGGGUUGGAGGAUUUUUUGGAUUCCUCCAAUUGUUGAUUUUCCACAGUUUAUUCUUGAACUGGAUUUGAUUCAAAUAUGGUGGACGCUUGAUCUUGAAUCGGACUUGUGAUUUCCUCAAGGGCCGUCGAGGCUUGAUCUUGAAUUUGGCCGGAAACUUCUUCAAGGGCCGUUGAGGCUUGAUUCUUGAAGGUUGACUCGAACACAUGGCAAGCAGGCACGAGGUGAAGGUGACGACUUGUUGCUUUGUUCAAUCUUUCUAAUUCACACCUGAGCAGUUUGGUCAACGGUAUGAUCUUCAAGAUUGAUGGGCUCUUCUUCCAGUUGGUGAUUUGAUCUUUAAGGAUUUGAUUCAAGGGUGGUGAAACGGCACAUGCAGCCCACAACGCCUAGCAAGUCGACCCAAGAAUUUGAGGGUUAAAACGAGUCCUCCACCCAGAGUGAUUGCAAACCUGAUGAUAUGAGAUACUUUUGAUUUUGAAGAAGUAGCGGAUGAAUCGGCACGUGCUUUGUUGUGCUUGUCUCCACAUGCUUCAAUGUAUCAUUUUCCCUUGUCUUAUCUAUUCUUCUAGCAGAAUGUAGCAUCUUCUUAAGUUCUUCAACUCAGACUCCUUCUGCUGAGCUGACUGUGCAGGCUGCAUUAUUCUCUGCUUGUUUCUUUAGGCAGAUGUGGCAGCUUCUUGAGUUCCUCAGCUCGGACUCCUUCUGCUGAGCUGAUUGUGAAGACUGCAUUCUUAUCUGCUUGUUUCUUCUGUACGUUGUCUCCACAUGCUGCAAGGUAUCAUUUUCAAUUGCCUUAUUUGUUUUCCAGGCAAAUGUGGCAUCCGAGUUUGAGUGGAGGUUCUGGCAUAUUGUUUUCUUUAUCCUUGUCUUUGUAGGUAAGAACAAGGACAAAGGAAAGGACAGGGAGAACGCAUGAUAUGAUAUACUCUUGCUUUCUACCCUGGUGAUAUGAGAUACUUUUGCUUUGGUGUCAUUUGUUUGCAGAGGUACCCCAAGGAAUAAGAAACACUGAGUGACUCGAGAGGCUUUGUUGGGAAGGCAUUCUAGGAGAUGAAGAAAGGUUCUUGGAGAUGAAGAAAGGUUCUCGGAGAUGAAGAAAGGUUAUGUAUGUCUGCCUUGCUAUGGAGGGUAAAGGUGGACAGUUAUAGGAAAUUCUUUAGUACCUGUAGAGGUACUAUUCUUUUACUCGUGUCGGCAACCAAUGUGUGAUUGAUCAGUAUGGCUUCACGUGUUUUCUUCUUUAUCAGAAAUCUUCGACAAAUUGUCCGUAAUUUUCGUCAAGCUGAGUGUGCAUGUGACAGGUGUUGACGAGGCUGAAAAAGACUGGUGCCUCUUCGAUAUCUGGGAUCGGCGCUUCGACAAAUUGCCCGUGAUUUCCGCAAAGCUGAGUUUGCGCGUGACGGGUGCUGACGAGGCUGAAAAAGACUGGCGCCUCUUCGAUAUCUGGGAUUGGCGCUUUAACAAAUUGCCCAUGAUUUCUGCAAAGCUGAGUUUGCACGUGACGGGUGCUAACGCGUCUGGAAAAGCAAGAUGCUUCUCCGAUUUCUGAGCUUGCCUCUUUGAUUUUUGAAUUGGCCUCUUCGAAUUCUGAGCUCGCCUCUUCGAUCUUUGAAAUCCCAUCGAGUGUUGAUCUUUAUAGAGGCACGCAGUUCGUUUCAAAGCACACUUGAAUUUUCGCUUGUAGAAACUCCCUUCUUGCACUUCUAAGAUCUUGAUUUGUCCGACCUCUUCUUUCUUCAACACCUUUGAAAAUGUCUGGACCCUCCGACCGUCAUUUUGAUUUGAACCUUGGUGAAGAGGUAGUCCCGUCUUCUCCAGAUAACAUAUGACGCCCAUCUUUCAUAUCCCCUACUGGUCCUCUUACCGUUGGGGAUUCGGUGGUGAAGAAUGAUAUGACCGCUGCGGUGGUGGCCCGAAACCUUGUCACUCCCAGAGAUAACAGACUACUUUCCAAACGGUCUGAUGAGUUGGCUGUUAAGGAUUCUCUGGCUCUCAGUGUGCAGUGUGCAGGUUCUGUGUCUAAUAUGGCCCAACGCCUAUUUGCUCGAACCCGUCAAGUUGAAUCAUUGGCGGCUGAAGUGAUGAGUCUCAAACAGGAGAUAUUAGAGGGCUCAAGCAGAGAGAUAAACAGUUGCAUAAGCUCGCACAUAGCUAUGCGACAAACAUGAAGAGGAAGAUUAACCAGAUGCAGGAAUCUGAUGGUCAGAUUUUACUUGAUCAUCAGAGGUUUGUGGGUUUGUUCCAGCAGCAUUUGCCUUCGUCUUCUGGGGCUGUACCGCGUAAUGAAGCUCCAAAUGAUCAACCCUUGGCUCCUCUUCUUCCUGGAGUUCCGCCGAGUGGUGUGGCUUCAAACAGUCAACCUCCGACGCCUCUCAUUUCUGGAGCUCUGCUGAGUGGUGAGGUGGCACCUAAUCGUCCUUGAAGAUCCCCUCUUGUAAAUUUGAUUUGAUUUUUUUUUAAGUAUGUAUAAUGCAAAUUUAUGUAAAAUUUCCAGAAAAAAUAAAUAAAAACGGACUUUAUUUCUCUCAAUGCAUUUGUUUUGUUUUGUUUUUGUUUUUUUUGUUUUUUUGUUUUUGUUUUUUUUGUAAAUACAUAAUAACAUAUGUAUUUAUUUAUUUAUUCUUUUGUAAUAAAAUUGACUUUCUUUAAUAAAACUUUUAUAUUUUUCUUAUUUAUUUUGAUAUGACUGAACUCGAAAUUGAAUGUUCGAGCCGCCUACGUACCCUUCCAAAGAAGAGAUCAAGCCAUAACGUAGUUCAAAUGAGUGAUGAAUUUAAUAGUGAUUUUGAUGAUGAUUUUGCCGUACACAGUUUAUGCUCUUGUGGGCCAGGAGCUUUGGUGUUGCCUUUUAUGCUCGUGCAGACCAGGAGCGUUGAUGUCGCCUUUUAUGCUCGUGUGGGUCAGGAGCGUUGAUGUUGCCUUUUAUGCUCGUGCAGACCAGGAGCUUUGUGCCAUGCAGUUUAGACUCGUGCGGGCAAGGAGCUUUGGUUCGUGCAGUUUAGGCUCAUGCGAACAAGGAGCAUUGGUUCGUGCAGUUUAGGCUCGUGCGAACAAGGAGCAUUGGUGUUGCCUUUUAUGCUCGUGCAGACCAGGAGCUUUGUGCUAUGCAGUUUAGACUCGUGCGGGUGAGGAGAAUUUGUGAAUUUUGUCAAGCACUUUUGGAGAGGCGUUCCUUACAAUCUUCAUAGCAAGGAGCCUUGACCGAGUGAUUGAAGAAGUCUUCGGGAAAGAAGUCGCACAUCGUGAUGGCAACAGACGAUCUUUGUGUCGUAAUUUCAUCAUCUUCAACACGUUCACGUUGCUUUGAAGGUUGACAAGAGCUGCUUUGCCCCCUUUCCGAUUGGCGGACUUGUGGAGGAGACGUAUGCUUCUUGUGCCAUUUCUUAGGAGUGACUUGAGUCCAUCCUUCAAGUUUGCUUGUUUUGGAGGAUGCCCCCGGCGGUUGAGGUGAAAAUUUUGUGUUGAAAGAGCCAGAAGUGAUGGUGGUAUAGUUUGACUUCACCACAUCGUCAAGAUCUAGCUCGAUGAUUCCUUUCUGAGCCCACUUUAUGAUGAGAUCUUUCAGCACAAAGCACUUUUCUGUCGGAUGACUGAUGAAGCGGUGGAAUUUACAGUAUCUUGGACUGUUGGUACGAUUCAUCUCUUCCGGCCAUCUGCACUCAGGCAAACUGAUCACCUUCUUGUCCAACAGGUCAUCCAACAUGGCAACCACAUCAGAGUCAGGGAAUGGAUAAGUCUUCUCUUUAAGCUCCUUCAAAGUGCGUCUACGCAUCUCUUGAUCACGAAAAGCUUCGGUUUGAAUCGUUUUGCCUCGUGUGGAGAUUUUGACGGGAGAUGUGUUGACUGUCAUUGCUUCCUUGGUGGAUUUCCACGUAGCCUUCUCCACCUUUGUCUCAAGAAUUUUGUCGUUCUUGUAGUCGGCGAUCGGUUCCUUCUUCCCAUGAUGGGUGAUGCUCAACUCCAUGUCAUGGGCGUGGGUGGCCAAUUCCUCGAAGGUCCGUGGUUUAAUGCCUUGAAGGAUGUAUUGCAAACCUCAUUGCAUGCCUUGGAUGCACAUCUCGAUUGAAGAGGUCUCCGAGAGCCUAUCUUUGCAGUCGAGGCUUAGAGUGCGCCAUCUGUUGAUGUAGUCAAUGACCGGCUCAUCUUUCCAUUGCUUCAUACUUGUGAGCUCCAACAUGCUUACAGUGCGGCGGGUGUUGUAGAAGCGGUUGAGGAAUUCCCGCUCCAAUUGCUCCCAGCUGUUGAUGGACUCAGGCUCUAGGUCCGUGUACCACUCAAAUGCGUUUCUUUUCAGCGAGCGCAUAAACUGCUUGGCGAAGUAGUCCCCCUCCGUCCCCGCGUUGUUGCAAGUUUUGACGAAAUGUGCAACGUGCUGCUUUGGGUUUCCUUUUCCAUCAAACUGCAUGAACUUUGGUGGUUGAUAUCCCAUCGGCAUCUUUAGGGCAUCAAUCUUCUUUGAAUAAGGCUUUGAGUACAACCCGGAGGUAUUUGAGCUCCCUUCGUACUAUGCCUUGACGGUGCUGGCAAUCAUCUCUUGCAACUGUUGGAUAGAAAGAGAUCCCAUGAGUGCCGCUUCUUGGUCUGGCUCCGGCUUCACAUCGAUUUUCUCCACCGUAGGCUCAUCUUCUGGGUUAGGGUUCUCGCUGUCCUGUGGCUCCAGUUGACUGAUGAGUGCAGCGAUUUGCAAGUCUUUUUCUUCCACAGUUCGGGUUAGCCUUGCGAUUGCUUCAUUCAUUUGAGCCAGUUGUUCUUCGAUGGAGGUAACGCCGAUGGUCAUGACUUGUGCAACCAAUAGACGUGACUUUCCUUUAGACAUCCAAGAUGCUGAAGAAGAACGUCAUUGGUUGUUUUGGGAUGUCAUCUUGUGUGCCUCAGCAACAUGCUUUGGUGCCCCCAGCGAGGUCAGGUUGAUGACAGACUCACACCUUUGAUGCUCCCUUUGCUCUUUUAGCGGCACCAACUUUGAAGUGGCAUGUUAAGGAGCGGUUGUGGUGCUAAUGGAUUGUCCAUUUGCGGCAGAAGUGCUUAGGAUCCUUCCCUCAGUGAUUGCGAGAACGGCUUGUCCCUUGCUUGAUGCCAUUGAUUUUGAGGUGUGUUUGGAUUCCUUAAACGGAGAAAGAUAUGAGAGGUAGAGAUUGUCCCACCGGGCGUGCCAAUUUGUGAACACGAAAAUUUCCUGAAACGAAAGAGACAAGAACAACGUGCACAAAAUAAUAUUUUGGUGUUAAUGGAUUUGUUGGGUUACGAUCUCUUUUAACUUGAUCCUCUGAUUCGAUCUCCGUAAGGUGUUGAUUUAUGGAUGUUUCGUUGAUCUAAGGGCCGUCGAGGCUUGAUCUUGGAUGAACUGUUGGAAGUUUCUUCAAGGGGCCGUGGGCUUGAUCUUUGAAGGUGGAUUUGAGCGGAUCUUCAAGGAGCCGUUGGGGCUUGAUCUUGAGGAUGAGUGUUUCUUCAAGGGCCGUUAAGGCUUGAUCUUGAAUAACGGUGAUGAACGGAUCUUCAAGGGCUUUUGGGCUUGAUCUUGAAGAACGGUUGGAUGUGUGGAUUUGUUGAUGUUGUUGAUCCAAGGGCCGUCGGGGCUUGAUCUUGGAAGAACGAUGAACGAAGAACGAAGAACACUUUCUUCAAAGGCCGUCGGGGCUUGAUCUUGAAUUGGUGAUUGUUGAUCCAAGGGCCGUCGGGGCUUGAUCUUGGAAGAACGGUGAACGAAGAAUGAAGAACGAAGAACACUUUCUUCAAGGGCCGUCGGGGCUUGAUCUUGAAUUGGUGAUUGUUAAUCAAAGGGCCGUCGGGGCUUGAUCUUGGAAGAACGAUGAACGAAGAACGAAGAAGGCUUUCUUGAUUCUUCGGGAUGAACGGAUGAUGAACAAUGAACACUUUCUUCAAGGGCCAUCGGGGCUUGAUCUUGAAUUGGUGGAAGUUCUUCAGGGCCUUUGGGGCUUGAUCUUGAAGGUGGAUGAUUGUUGAUCCAAGGGCCGUCGGGGCUUGAUCUUGGGAUGAACAGUUGUGUGGAUUUGUUGAACACUUUCUUCAAGGGCCGUCGAUGCUUGAUCUUGAAUUGGUGGAAGUUCGUCAAGGGCCGUUGGGGCUUGAUCUUGAAGAAGGAUUUGACGAAGAACGAAGAGAGCUUUCUUGAUCCUUCGGAAUUUGCUUGAAUUUGGGAGGUUGGAUGCUUGAAAGCUUUAGAGUUUCAAAGCUUCAAGGAUUUUGGAUGUGUGGGGAGUAUUCUCUUACAUUUUGGGAGUAGAGAAAUGUAUUUGUGAAUUGGUUUUUGAUACCUUGAUGUAGAAGCCUAUUUAUAGGCUUUGAGAAUGAAUCACCACCACAAAAUAUUUUUUUCUUUUCCAAGCACCAUUGCCUAAUUUCCCACUUAAUACAAUUUUAAACUUGAAGUGGUAAUUUUAUGGCCUAAUUUUCCACUUAAUAUCAUUUUAAACUUGAUAUGUGCAUGCUUUGUCAUUGCCCAAAAUGAGAAGAAAACCUUGUUUUGAUCUUCAAUGGAUUGAAAUGUGCUUUGCCUUGUCAUUGCCCAAAAUGAGAAGAAAAACUUGUGUAAUCCUCCAAGGGUAUUUCUUUUUAUUUUGUUGAGUCACACACCAUGUGUACAAUUUGUAUGACACGUGGCAUAUGCCAUAUAUGCCUUGACACGUCAAAAUUUUAAUGCGUUGGUGAACAUUUAUUUCACCGCAAUUUCGAUGUCUACAAUUUCAUUUCUUGUGAAUAAUGUUUAUCCUGUGUUCUGUCCAAUCGCGUAUUAAAAAAUGUGUGAAGUUUGGAUUAACCACACUCUUUUAGAAUUUCCUUUAUUUACCACUUUUUGAGAAUUUCCAAUAAGACUGGGUGAGUCUCCGCUGAGAAUUUCCUCAACUAACACCACACUACUUGAGGGAUAAUUUGUUAUAUCUUUGAAUAAAGAAUAAAACAGUUUCCUACUUUUGAAGGUACUAUUAACUUACACUAUAUUUGGAUGAAGGUCAAACUUUAUAAAUUGACAUACACCAAAUUCUUUGUUUGGAUUCAUAAACAUAUAAAUUUAGAAUUUCCGCGUGGAAAAAAAAAAUACUUAGAAUUUGAGACCUCCAAUUCUCAAAUUGAAAGUUUAAAAAUAAUAAAUUCCGUAUUCAAUUCAAUUGUUCUUUUAGGUUAACCAAAUAAGAAAAUUCACAAAUUCUAAAAUAUAAAAUCUCAUCAUUUCAAUUUCCGUCAUUUUAAAAUUCCUUAGUAAUAUUAAAUUUCUUCAUCCAAACAUAGUGUUAAGAAAUUUUUUAAAGAUACACUAUUUACACUCAUUUUUAUUUCUUACACAUUUAUUAACUUUGUCCAUUGAUUUCUUCAAUUCAUUUUGCCAGUUAUACAAAAAUUGAGAACAGUAUUUAUGAAUUAAAAAUACAUUUGUAGAUGUCACUACCAAAUUUUUAUUCCUAAUUCAAGAAAAUCUUAUCCAUAUAUGAUUGCCCUUGCCCACUUUAAAUGGGUGCCAUCACUUUACGAUAGAGCAAUCCUAACCGUCCACCUAGGUAAGCAUAACUGGCGAUGCAUGUCGCAAGGGGACCGCAUUGCACAAUAUAAUUAUACUAGUUGAUAAGACAAGUGAUGUCAAUCAAUAAAUUAUUUCAUUAAAACUUAGUUGUAUGUAUCAUAUGUUGUAAUGUAGGGUGUAUGAUAUGCUGACGCUGUAAAAAAAUGUAACCUUUUUAAUAUUACUCAUAAUAGUAAGACUUACCAGUAUUAGGAUGUUAUCAGUGGAAUGAGAAUCCUCUCCAGAUCUUUUUUGUGAGCUAUUAUUUGUAUUUAAUUUUAAAUAUAAAAAAUUAAAAUAAUUUAUGACGGCAGUGAUUCACAUGAUCUUCACAAAGAGAAUCCAAAUAAUCUUAAUUUAUAUCAGUGUGUCUAGAUAACAUGAUCGAGCCCCUUUACUUUUACCCUAUUUAGUAUUUUACAUUUGAACCUGUAAAUAUUCGAUUUUUCUUUGGUGCAACCGAGCACCAAAUAUAGAUUUUUUUUCACUUUUAUAUAAUGAUAAAUAAAGGGCAAUUGGCAGAUUUGAAUUCCAUUCGGAUUGGUCAAAAAUCAUUUUAAAUUGUUUUAUUUAAAAUUAAACACAUAUAGUACUUAAUAAAAAUUAGUCGUACAAUAUACGAUAAACAGAUAUAAUGUAAGGACCUUUAUGAUCUUCACAAAAAAGAUCCAAAGGUUGUGUAGCUGUUUCAAAAGGAUAAUACUCACUUUUGAUUAGUUCAAUGAAAUUUUAAACAUGUUUUAUUGUUUUAAAAAAUAAUAAACAUAUUUAUUAAUGUUUGUUUUACUUUAAAAAAUAAGCAGCACUUGACAACAUUUGAUUGUGCUAAAUAAAAAAUGAGUGACCACUUAGUACUACAGUCUUAUGAUAUUUUUCUUCAUUUGAAAGUGAGAGGUUUUAAGUUCGAAUCUCGUGGAUGACGAAUUUGAUAUCAAAUUAGAUUGCUCACUAUGUGGCUUAGCCGAACUCUCAUUUCCUUUAAUGUAAAAAUAUUGAUGUAUUCAAAAAAAUAAAAAGUGACUAUAGAGGACACUCAAUCUCAGCUGUAUGAUUAAAUCAGACGGUAAGAAAAAUUCUGCAAGCAUACUCGGUUACAUUAAUUGAAGAAAAAAUGGGUAAAUAUUGGGCACCAACGUUAUAAAUACCCUCCACCAUGCACCCAACUCCCUCACACCAUCACAACCCACGUUACAAAUCCUCCUCCUCAUCAUAACCAUUCUGUUUUCCGCAUAAUAUCCAAAAACCUAUCAUGUCUGAAGAGAAACACCACCGCGGUCUCUUCCACCACCACAAGGAUGAAGACAAACCCUCAGACUACCCUCAGUCUGGCUACUCUGAUGAAGGACGUCCCGGCGGCCUCGGUGGUGGUUACGGCGACACCAAUGAUUAUUCUGGUGAAGGACGUACCGGCGGCCUAGGUGGUGGCUAUGGCGACACCAAUGCUUAUUCUGGUGAAGGACGUCCCGGCGGCUAUGGCGGCUAUAACGAGACCACUGCUUACUCUGAGGAAAGAGUUGAAAGACCCGGCGGUGGCCGGUACAGUGAGACUACUGCGGCAUAUGGCAGCACCAC